rnacentral:rRNA from 1 species
AGAGUUUGAUCCUGGCUCAGGAUGAACGCUAGCGACAGGCUUAACACAUGCAAGUCGAGGGGCAGCACAGGUAGCAAUACCGGGUGGCGACCGGCGCACGGGUGAGUAACGCGUAUGCAACUUGCCUAUCAGAGGGGGAUAACCCGGCGAAAGUCGGACUAAUACCGCAUGAAGCAGGGGCCCCGCAUGGGGAUAUUUGCUAAAGAUUCAUCGCUGAUAGAUAGGCAUGCGUUCCAUUAGGCAGUUGGCGGGGUAACGGCCCACCAAACCGACGAUGGAUAGGGGUUCUGAGAGGAAGGUCCCCCACAUUGGUACUGAGACACGGACCAAACUCCUACGGGAGGCAGCAGUGAGGAAUAUUGGUCAAUGGGCGUAAGCCUGAACCAGCCAAGUCGCGUGAGGGAUGAAGGUUCUAUGGAUCGUAAACCUCUUUUAUAAGGGAAUAAAGUGCGGGACGUGUCCCGUUUUGUAUGUACCUUAUGAAUAAGGAUCGGCUAACUCCGUGCCAGCAGCCGCGGUAAUACGGAGGAUCCGAGCGUUAUCCGGAUUUAUUGGGUUUAAAGGGUGCGUAGGCGGCCUUUUAAGUCAGCGGUGAAAGUCUGUGGCUCAACCAUAGAAUUGCCGUUGAAACUGGGGGGCUUGAGUAUGUUUGAGGCAGGCGGAAUGCGUGGUGUAGCGGUGAAAUGCAUAGAUAUCACGCAGAACCCCGAUUGCGAAGGCAGCCUGCCAAGCCAUUACUGACGCUGAUGCACGAAAGCGUGGGGAUCAAACAGGAUUAGAUACCCUGGUAGUCCACGCAGUAAACGAUGAUCACUAGCUGUUUGCGAUACACUGUAAGCGGCACAGCGAAAGCGUUAAGUGAUCCACCUGGGGAGUACGCCGGCAACGGUGAAACUCAAAGGAAUUGACGGGGGCCCGCACAAGCGGAGGAACAUGUGGUUUAAUUCGAUGAUACGCGAGGAACCUUACCCGGGUUUGAACGCAUUCGGACCGAGGUGGAAACACCUUUUCUAGCAAUAGCCGUUUGCGAGGUGCUGCAUGGUUGUCGUCAGCUCGUGCCGUGAGGUGUCGGCUUAAGUGCCAUAACGAGCGCAACCCUUGCCACUAGUUACUAACAGGUAAAGCUGAGGACUCUGGUGGGACUGCCAGCGUAAGCUGCGAGGAAGGCGGGGAUGACGUCAAAUCAGCACGGCCCUUACAUCCGGGGCGACACACGUGUUACAAUGGCGUGGACAAAGGGAGGCCACCUGGCGACAGGGAGCGAAUCCCCAAACCACGUCUCAGUUCGGAUCGGAGUCUGCAACCCGACUCCGUGAAGCUGGAUUCGCUAGUAAUCGCGCAUCAGCCAUGGCGCGGUGAAUACGUUCCCGGGCCUUGUACACACCGCCCGUCAAGCCAUGGGAGCCGGGGGUACCUGAAGUCCGUAAC